AUUGAACGCUGGCGGCAGGCUUAACACAUGCAAGUCGAGCGGGGUGAUGGUGCUUGCACUAUCACUUAGCGGCGGACGGGUGAGUAAUGCUUAGGAAUCUGCCUAUUAGUGGGGGACAGCGUCUCGAAAGGGAUGCUAAUACCGCAUACGUCCUACGGGAGAAAGCAGGGGAUCACUUGUGACCUUGCGCUAAUAGAUGAGCCUAAGUCGGAUUAGCUAGUUGGUGGGGUAAAGGCCUACCAAGGCGACGAUCUGUAGCGGGUCUGAGAGGAUGAUCCGCCACACUGGGACUGAGACACGGCCCAGACUCCUACGGGAGGCGGCAGUGGGGAAUAUUGGACAAUGGGGGGAACCCUGAUCUAGCCAUGCCGCGUGUGUGAAGAAGGCCUUAUGGUUGUAAAGCACUUUAAGCGAGGAGGAGGCUCUUCUGGUUAAUACCCAAGAUGAGUGGACGUUACUCGCAGAAUAAGCACCGGCUAACUCUGUGCCAGCCGCCGCAGUAA
rnacentral:rRNA from 1 species